UACGGGGGGGGUAAGCGUUGUUCGGAAUUAUUGGGCGUAAAGGGCUCGUAGGCGGUUUGUCGCGUCGGGAGUGAAAACUCAGGGCUUAACCCUGAGCCUGCUUUCGAUACGGGCAGACUAGAGGUAUGCAGGGGAGAACGGAAUUCCUGGUGUAGCGGUGAAAUGCGCAGAUAUCAGGAGGAACACCGGUGGCGAAGGCGGUUCUCUGGGCAUGAUCUGACGCUGAGGAGCGAAAGUGUGGGGAGCGAACAGG
rnacentral:rRNA from 1 species